GUAUAGAGAUUGGAAUCUAACCCACAGUGUUCCGCUUACCGGGCAGAUGCCAUGUCCACUAGGCUACCCUGUA
rnacentral:tRNA from 1 species